rnacentral:rRNA from 1 species
UAGGGAAUCUUCGGCAAUGGACGAAAGUCUGACCGAGCAACGCCGCGUGAGUGAAGAAGGUUUUCGGAUCGUAAAACUCUGUUGUUAGAGAAGAACAAGGACGUUAGUAACUGAACGUCCCCUGACGGUAUCUAACCAGAAAGCCACGGCUAACUACGUGCCAGCAGCCGCGGUAAUACGUAGGUGGCAAGCGUUGUCCGGAUUUAUUGGGCGUAAAGCGAGCGCAGGCGGUUUCUUAAGUCUGAUGUGAAAGCCCCCGGGUCAACCGGGGAGGGUCAUUGGAAACUGGGAGACUUGAGUGCAGAAGAGGAGAGUGGAAUUCCAUGUGUAGCGGUGAAAUGCGUAGAUAUAUGGGGGAACACCAGUGGCGAAGGCGGCUCUCUGGUCUGUAACUGACGCUGAGGCUCGAAAGCGUGGGGAGCAAACAGG